GCCCUUCUGGCAGUCUGCACUUGUGGUCAUCCUGGGAGGACUCACGGUCCUUCUCUCUUCACCCCCGGGGCUUUCACCACUGAACUGAAUAUGGCUUGAGGUUUCCAGGAGGUCAGGACGUGGCUUUGUGCACUCUGUUUCUUUACAAAGAGAAGGAAUAUGGCAACCUGUAAGGGAAAUGGUUGACAACGCAGGUCCUUCACUCCUCAGGGUAAAACACAGUCCUGGAUUCCUGCACUUGUUGGAAGGUGCUGGGACUGCAUGAGAGCAGCACGCCUGUCUGUCCCACUGUGCUCCUGCAACCAGUGGCAGUGUAUGAGGCUGCUCAGGACUUGCAGGCCAGUUGCUGCAAAUCUGCAAAGCAAGUGAUUUAUCCAGCCUGCAGCAGAAUCCCUCGUAGUGGUGUGAUGUAGCCCUGAAGGUAUCUCGCAGAAGGUCAGGCUUUCUUUUCCCUUACCUUAUCUUUCCCUUCCUCUGAGAAAGUAACCAUUAUUAUCCCAUGCUGUGGGAGACCUGGUAGCUGCUGGAUUUUCUCUUCUUCCCUUUUGCUCUCCCUCUGGCUUUCACCUUAUUUUUCCUCCUGGUUCUGUCCAAGUCACUUCCUCACACAAAUACAUAGAAGGUUACUCAGAUAUCUACUAGGCUUUCUGCUGUGAUGCUUUGGGCUCUGCUUGGUAUGCAGGUGCUGGGGCUGCUGUUGGUAUGGCAAGCUGGGGGCCUGCAGCUGCAGGUCAGCCCUAGAUGGGAAUGGGCUACUAUGGAGCACUAAUGCUCAUGAAGCUUCAUUUCUGCCGAGUCCAUGAGUGGCCAGCAGAGGAUUGAAGCCAGGCACAUUCAUAAGGGAAAACAUUGGGAGAAAGACAAAGAGUUGCAUUCUGCUAUGAAGAGUGAGUUGAGAAAGACUGAGUGCAUUGGCGAGGUGUUUUUUCCACUCAUGUACGCCCUGAGCUUUCCCCAUCUGAGCUGAAGUCUUGCCAGCUCUAAUCAGCGAUCCAACCUGAUGGACACUGCCAUGAUUGUGCUGAGCAGAACGAUACCGUUCUCCAACUGCAGUCCUCUUUCUCCUGGCAUUCCUGUAAUCAGCAACUGAAUAAUGAUGCUGUUAUGCAUGAGAAGGGACUACACCUUUUGAACAUUUGUUACUGGAGAGAGAUUUAAGUAACUGUUUAUAGUGAUUAGUUAUGAGCUUUUGAGUUGAAUCAGCAGCAGAUGUUCCUUUUGUAUGACCUGUAUGAGAAGUGUAUGUAUUUCCAUGCUAGACUGACCUCUCAGGGCACUCCUCAGGUAAAUCAGAUGCCUUUAAAAACUCCUAACCUGUGCUGUGCCAGAACGCCGUGUGCUUGUGAGAUAAGUGACAGACAGCUCUGCUGGCCCAAGCAGCCUGGGAUCCACAUCAGUGAUGUCACAGUCCUGCAGGCAGCAAACAUCAGGAUGUGGUUCUCAUACAGGUUUCAUACUGAUUGAGUUAGACACGGGUAAACCAACAUGAAGAGUAACUUCAUUUUCCUGGGCUGACUGGAGGAAGAAACUAACAGUUACCUCCGUGGUUCAUUUUAGGACCUGUUGGUUUAGAAAACGGAAAGGCUCAUUUGUAACAUUACUUCAUGUAGUUAAUUGUCUGCUAAUUAAGUUUUAUAGGUGUUUGGUUUUCUGGCACCUCAACGAGCAGGCGCCUGUGAACGGGAAGAUGAAAUCUUUGUUAUGAUUAAAUGU
rnacentral:lncRNA from 7 species